AUCAACUUUCGAUGGUAGGAUAGAGGCCUACCAUGGUGGUAACGGGUAACGGGGAAUUAGGGUUCGAUUCCGGAGAGGGAGCCUGAGAAACGGCUACCACAUCCAAGGAUGGCAGCAGGCGCGCAAAUUACCCAAUCCCGACACGGGGAGGUAGUGACAAUAAAUAACAAUACGGGGUUCUUUAGGAUCUCGUAAUUGGAAUGAGUACAAUUUAAAUCUCUUAACGAGGAACAAUUGGAGGGCAAGUCUGGUGCCAGCAGCCGCGGUAAUUCCAGCUCCAAUAGCGUAUAUUAAAGUUGUUGCAGUUAAAAAGCUCGUAGUUGAAUUUCGGGAUCAAAUUGUUGGUCGUGCUUCGGUACGCACUGGCAUUAUUGGUUCCUACCUUCUGAAGAACCGCGAUGUCAUUAAUUUGGUGUCGUGGGGAAUCAGGACUGUUACUUUGAAAAAAUUAGAGUGUUUAAAGCAGGCGCACGCUUGAAUACAUUAGCAUGGAAUAAUGAAAUAGGACGUUUGAUUCUAUUUUGUUGGUUUCUAGGAUCGACGUAAUGAUUAAUAGGGAUAGUUGGGGGCAUUAGUAUUCAAUUGUCAGAGGUGAAAUUCUUGGAUUUAUUGAAGACUAACUACUGCGAAAGCAUUUGCCAAGGAUGUUUUCAUUAAUCAAGAACGAAAGUUAGGGGAUCAAAGACGAUCAGAUACCGUCGUAGUCUUAACCAUAAACUAUGCCGACUAGGGAUCGGAUGAUGUUAAUUUUUUAAUGACUCAUUCGGCGCCUUACGGGAAACCAAAGUGUUUGGGUUC
rnacentral:rRNA from 1 species